GGUUGAAUUUGCAGCAUAAGUAUAUGCCCUGACUAGUUUAUAGGAUGAUGCUUCUACCAACUGAGCCACACCAGCCAGGGCAAGGACACAGUUCUUAAGAUGAGAGAUGUUAAGUAUAUUUGUAAGCUGUCCUGGAAUAAGGUAUAGAGGGAAACAUUUAUAAAACUGCAAAGAUACAUAACAAUUGUCUGGGAGAUGUCCUCAAGAAGGAGGAAAGUGAUAGGAUAUAGCAUACCAGUGGAAGAAUACUUUUCUUUGUUCAUUCAACAAAUACUUGGCACAGUUACUCUUUACCAGCCUAUUUUGGGAGCCUGGAAUAUUUCACAGAACAGAAAAAAGAUCUCUGCUCUCUAUUGGGGCAUUCUAGAGGUUGGUCUUGAUAAUAGGAGCAUAGACAUUUCAUUUAUGAUAAUGGAAAAGAACGUGUUGGCAUGUGGGAGCUUCUGGAAAAUCUCUUCUGACUCUCUUUUUUAAAAUUGUGAAGACAGAUGCAUGAGCAGUAGUCAGGUGUUUGAGAAGGGGGGAAGAUAUGAAAUAGACCUCUGGGCAAGUGGGAAAGUGUUCCAGAAUGAUGGAUGGUUGCUGGGCAGGGCUGAGAGUUACUGUUAUAGACUUAAAGAAUAGUGUGGUGUGCAUGUGUAUUUCUCUAGCCCCAUCAUCUGCAUAGGUAAGGCAUAGAGCAGGCAGAGCACUGGGUUUAACCAACGUGAUUUAAGCCAGAUGACUAAUGUAAAGUGAGAGAGGGACCAAGGCAAUUGAGUCUAUACAUGGGAAUGAGUGAUGAUUGAUCUUGAAAUUAAGCUGGGAUAGGAUGGAUAGGAUGGAAGUGAGUAGAUAGGGAUGGAAAUAGUGAAAAGCUGGUAGGAUGAACAAUUUGUGGAUUUCAGUAGAUUGAAGGAUUUUUAGUGUCCAGAACUAGAGAGAAAUGAGCUGAAAAUGUAGAUGAUAGUCAGAUGUUUGGAAUUGAGAGGGGAGGGGCGGGUAAGAGAUUCAAGUAGUUACAAGAUCUUGUGGGGACAAGAUCUUGGGAGAGGAACUCAAAAAGAAGGAGAGGCUAAGGCAUUUGGGGGAUUAUUUCUGAGGAUAUUUAAACCAUUAAGUAUUAAUAUUAUUGAAAGGAGUGACUGAGUCAGGAUGUAAAAAUCUUUGAGAAAUGAAAGCAGUGACCCAAGGAUUAACAGAUGACUAACAAAGAAAGAGGUGGUUAAA